rnacentral:rRNA from 1 species
GUGAGGAAUAUUGGACAAUGGAUGGAAAUCUGAUCCAGCCAUGCCGCGUGCAGGAAGACGGCCCUAUAGGUUGUAAACUGCUUUUAUACGGGAGCAAUAAGGUCUAUGCAUAGAUUGAUGAGAGUACCGUAUGAAUAAGCAUCGGCUAACUCCGUGCCAGCAGCCGCGGUAAUACGGAGGAUGCGAGCGUUAUCCGGAUUUAUUGGGUUUAAAGGGUGCGUAGGCGGCUUUGUAAGUCAGCGGUGAAAUUUUGCAGCUUAACUGUAAAAGCGCCGUUGAUACUGUGAAGCUAGGAUUUGGUUGCUGUGGGCGGAAUGUGUGGUGUAGCGGUGAAAUGCAUAGAGAUCACACAGAAUAUCGAUUGCGAAGGCAGCUCACAAAGCCAAUAUUGACGCUGAGGCACGAAAGUGUGGGGAUCAAACAGGAUUAGAUACCCUAGUAGUCC